UACAGAGGUGGCAAGCGUUGUUCGGAAUUACUGGGCGUAAAGGGCGAGUAGGUGGCCAUCUAAGUCAGACGUGAAAUCCCUCGGCUUAACCGGGGAACUGCGUCUGAUACUGGAUGGCUUGAAUCCGGGAGAGGGAUGCGGAAUUCCAGGUGUAGCGGUGAAAUGCGUAGAUAUCUGGAGGAACACCGGUGGCGAAGGCGGCAUCCUGGACCGGCAUUGACGCUGAGGAGCGAAAGCGUGGGGAGCGAACAGG
rnacentral:rRNA from 1 species